AACGAACGCUGGCGGCAUGCCUAACACAUGCAAGUCGAACGAGACCUUCGGGUCUAGUGGCGCACGGGUGCGUAACGCGUGGGAACCUGCCCUUAGGUUCGGAAUAACUCCCCGAAAGGGGUGCUAAUACCGGAUAAUGUCUUCGGACCAAAGAUUUAUCGCCUUUGGAUGGGCCCGCGUUGGAUUAGCUAGUUGGUAGGGUAAAAGCCUACCAAGGCGACGAUCCAUAGCUGGUCUGAGAGGAUGAUCAGCCACACUGGGACUGAGACACGGCCCAGACUCCUACGGGAGGCAGCAGUGGGGAAUAUUGGACAAUGGGCGAAAGCAUGAUCCAGCAAGGCCGCGUGAGUGAUGAAGGCCUGAGGGUUGUAAAGCACUUUUACCCGGGAUGAUAAUGACAGUACCGGGAGAAUAAGCUCCGGCUAACUCCGUG
rnacentral:rRNA from 1 species